AACGAAUUUGAAUGAGGAGUCUCAGCGCUUUCGGCGCCAUUUUCGAGUGAUGCCUGAUCUCAUCAAUCUAGCGGGAGGGAAGGGAUAACCUGUCCGAGCCUAGCGCGACGCUAGGAUCACGCCGGAAAAUCCCCCAAAAAUCAUCAAAAAAAUUAACUUAGACCAGAGGGCAGUCGGCGGGGCUUCGCCAGAUGCGGCGCAGUCGAUUUUAACCAUUAGAAGAGUACCAGUUCUGGAAAACAACCAAAGUUUCUUUGAUUGAAUGCCCAUGUAAUGCAUUGGAAUAUGAUAGGCGAUUAAGGUUUAACAAUGUUAAAAUGAAGAUAUUACUAAAAUGGCCCUCUAAAUAGCCCAACAAUUAUUAUUUUGUAAGUAUUAGUUUCUAGCUCCUUCCUUCCUCAGUGACCCAUCACCACUGCAAUGAAGACUUGUGUUUGGUAUCAUAUUUCCAUAUAUCUGAUAAUUUUUCUAUUUAUUCUUGAAUAACUUAAAUUGCCCAUUAACACUCUAUUCAUGUUUGAUAUUAAUUUAGAACAAGAAUGAUUUCAUUGCCUCAGGAAACUUUACUAGUGUGGAAAGUACUUUAUAGAAAGUCCCUGUUAUCUCCAAGUCUGAAGUCAAAAUAUUAAAUCCUUUCUUUAAAGUUUACAAAUAAGCAAAGAUUUUUAUACAUUUCUUUAUUUAAUUUGUGAGUUUGACUGCAUGUAUAUAUGUGUAAGUGUAUGGACCUGAUAUGCAGGAGAGAUGGAGACCAAGGUCAUCAGUAACAAUUGAGUGAAAUUCAGGACAGCCCUGCUUAUAUGAUCCCUUGUAUGGUCAGGGGGCAGUUGGGGGACGGUAAAAUUUAAACAGUUAUACCAGGUUCUGAAUUUUGGUGGGGUGUAUAUUCAUUUUCUUUGUCUGAGACAGCUUAUCUGCCUAGCCUUGAAUCUGUAUAGUAAUCCUUCUACCUCCAUCUCUAGAGUGCCAAAAUUAUAGGCAUGUUCCACUCACAACACUUAGCCACCCAUCUGGUUUGGGUAGGACUUUAAAUUUGCAAAUAUAACAAUCUGAUACAAUGUGAUUUUUUUCACUUUUAAGCAUAAAUGCACUGGGAUAAUAUUCUCAGAACAUUUAGUGUGAAUUAUUGUUGUCAUCUUCUGUUCUGAAAUUUGAGCUUUUUAAAAUAUGAGUGUUCUGCCUUCGUGUAUGUCUGCAGUGCGUGCUGGAGGAAGUGCUUAGGCUCCUUGUGGGUGCUGGGAACUGAACCUGGGUCUUUUAUAGCAACAAAAUGCUCUUAACCACUGAGUAACUCUGCAGCCUUGAAACUUGAAUUUCAAAAAUUUCCAUGUAAAAAAUGAGCAAAUUGAAAUACAUAUUCAGUUGUCAGUGAUCACCACACCUGACUUGGCCUAAACAAUCAGUUUAGUUUUCCUUUCAUAGCCAUUAAAUAAAAUUUGGGUUUGUUGUUUUUGUUAGAACAAUUUCUUUUUCAAAUAUGUUACAUAAGCUCAUUUUCCUAGAAAAAAAUCACAUGGAAAUGGAAUUUUUAAGUAUUUAGUAGUAUGCCCUACAAGUGAUUCUGUCACUUUUCACAUAUCAAAUUUUAGAACUAGGAAUUUAAAAUGUUUAGAGAAGAAACAGUUCCAAAGAUUUUAUAGUGGCAUUAUUGCCACAUCAAAGAUAUUAACAUACCCAGCUUUUAACUUCCCAAUUUUGUUGCAGUAUUUCAUGCCUUUAGCUUUGCUAUUUAAGUAGAUUUUUUGUGCCCUGAGAAUUGUUGUUCUGUCAUCAGAACUUAAACCUGGUAGUUUUUUCUCCAUGUUCUUAGACAACUUCAUAAGAUGGCUAUGGUUCAGAAGCGUCCUACAAAGGCUUAUAUGUAUGUUAAUGGUUCAUUUGCAGAUAGGAAACCAGAAAGGGUCAGUGUACUAGAAUAACAGCCAUGGGAGACACUCAAAGGACAGAGUGUCAGGGUUCUGACCUCAGAUUCUGUAUUCUGUCAUUGUGCUCCAACAAAUUACUGGUUGCUUAUUAUUAAAUUCAAAAAGUAUCCCAUUAUUCUGAUGCAGUCAAGAUGAUGAUAUAGCUUGGGCAACAUGCCUAUAAAUGUUUGUGAAGUGCUAAGCUUUAUGGAAACAAGAUGAAUUAAUAUUAGAAGUUUUAUAAGGUAAAAAGUAAAUGUUUCUAAAGAAAAAUAUUAAUGGAAACAAAUAGAGUUGAAGGGGGAAAUAGGACAAUUUGGUUUGAUCUAUCUUCUUAAAUUGUUGUAAAAUUCUGUUUUCUUAUACAAAUAAUAUUAAUUUCAGGUAUUUAAAGAUUGCCAUGUAUUCCUAUGUACACUCAAGUUACCUUCUUAAGCAAAACAUUUCGUUUUCUUUUCAGAAUGGCUUUUUUUUUUCCUUUUAAGAACAUUAGUAAAAAGUUGAACUAUGUAAAAACCCAACAAAGAAAAAUUAUUUUGGUCCUUAGGCCAGAAUAUAAACCACUGAAUUUGGAACGGGGCAUGAUGGUGCACGCCUUUAAUCCUAGCAUGCAGGAGGGAAACCAGGCAGAUAGAUCUCUGAGUUCCAGUCCAGCCUGGUCUAUAGAAUGAAUUGCAGGACAGCAGCCACUGUCCUCAAAACCCUCUCUCAAAAAACCACUGAAUUUGAAAUUAUAAUCAUUGUAUAAAGAUAAAGGACAAAAUCACUUUUAGCAGCUUUUAUCUUUAUUUUCAGACUUUUUUUUUUUUAAGCUGGCACACUUGAAAGCAAAGGUUUGAAGAUUUAAAGACGUUUUGAUAUUUCAAAUGACCCAACAUGAACGGGAAUGGAGAAAUGGCAUUGACCCACUAGAAAACAUUUGCUACACAGUAAUCUAGUUUGAAUGGAAAAUCUGGUAUGAACUGGAAUAAUAAGAACAGUUCUUUGUGAAGGGAUGGCUAAGUCCCCCACUAAACAGAAAAGAGUCUUCUUAAUAGUGUAAGAAAACCUAGAUAUUCACACACACAUAAAAUGAAGUUGGAACUUAACGUAGUAAAAAUUUUGUUUCAGCUAAGUCAAAGUCCUGUGGUAUAAAAUGAUACUCCUUUAAAGGACUAGCCUUUUUAACUGGGAAACACACAAAUGGUUACUUAGGCUUGAGCUACAGGAUUUCUGAUAUAUCCUUUUAGAAAACCAAAUAGACCUGUUAUCCUAAGAUGAUGUUCUGGGUAAUAAUAAAUGACACUGAACUCACAAUAACUAUUCCAAUAUUGAGAUAAAUCUUGAGUGUUCAUGUGUAGAUUGGGGGUUAUAUAUUUUUGGGGAAUAUAUUUCUUGUGUAUGUCUUCUAAAUAUUUUGCUAGUAUAAAUUUCUUGAAACUGAGCUCUUACAUGUUUGUUCUUACAUGUUUCCUUUAACAUGAAGCUUUGUCCUAUGGAUUUGGCUUUGAAAGAUGUGCUGCUCUUAAUAAGGUAAAAACCAACUUUUGUAACUAUUUCAUGUGUUAAGCACAUUCAAAAGUUGUUAGUUUAAUAAAUGAGGUUCUUAUUAAGUUGGUAUGGA
ensembl:processed_transcript Dleu2 deleted in lymphocytic leukemia, 2